AUAGCAGAUAAGAAAAGAAACUUAAGCCGCUGAAACUCCCUCCACUCGUGAGAUCAAGAAAAACCUGGCUGAAACUGGUUGGAACCAAGAUGGCUAACUGGAGCUUGCACAGAAUAAGCUUGCUGAUGUCAUAGCCUGAAUUUCCACCACAUGUUUCAUACUAACUCUCCCUGAAUUUGCCAUGCAACUCAGGAGUUAACAUGAAGAAAUAACUGUGCAUGCCCAAGGACUUUCCAGACCUCCCUUUUCCUUGCACAAAUCACCUACUAAUCUCAGAAUCCACCCCCUGAACCUUUUCUAAUAAAAAUACUGCCUUAAUGCCAGCACAGAGAGACAAAUUUGAGCUUGACUCCUGUCUCCUUCAGAGGUGACUUUUAAUAUAAAGCUUUUCUUUUUUUUCAAAAAUUUGGUGUCAGUGUUGGCUUCUAGCACAUUGGGCAGUGAGCCCCUUUUGCUUGAUAACAAACUAGAACCCCAGGUGAGACGAACAGCCUGUCCAAGGUACUGUUGCCCCUAGUGGUGUGCAGGCCCCCUGCACUGAUCCUGAGUGGCCACCUAGACCAGGGUGUCCAGAGGCUCGACUAUAGGGUUCCUUCUUCUCCACCAUGGCACUUCAGGCUCCCUUGGCACUUCUCUUUUGGGAAAAUAAAUUGCUUCUGGAUUAGACAUCUUUCUGGGUCUUACUCUGUCACCCAGGCUGGAGUGCAGUGGCAUGAUCUUGGCUCACUGCAGCCCCAACAUCCCCGGCUCAAGCAAUCCUCCCGCCUCAGCCUCCUAAGUAGCUGGGACCACAGAAACCCAAACUGCAGAACAUGUUCAGUGAAGCAACCAGAGCUAAAUCAUUUGAAAUGCAUUAGCCAGUACUCGCCGCAAAUUAAUUUAACACCAGUCACAUGUGUCUGGGUGAUUUUCCUCUGAAAGGUGGCGUGAGUUGAUUGGACCCCAGGAGGAACGCUGCGCUGAAUGGCUCAAGAUUUACUACUAACCACACACUGCACAGAGAAGGCUGCGUGUUACCAAGGCCUCCAUGGAAUUAGGGGGAACUGCCAACAAACCAGUGCAGAGCCUGCAAAUGUCAGAUAGAAGGAGGAUGAGACAUGAUUUGGAUAUUUUUCCAAGAAGCAAAGACUCAGUUCAUUUAGAAGAGUUUCCUUAAGGAUAAAGGAAGUAUCCAGAACGAACUCUAAGAAAGGGAAAUGGCUUCAUGCUUUCCUCUCCCAUUCCCAUACCUGCAGGAAAAUCAGAUUUCCUCAUGGUCCUGUCGUUUUCUCAGGCCUGAGAGGAGGGACACUUCACCACCGCCCCCCUCCCCACCCCCGCCCCAAUCUCAGUGGGUUUAGCAAGACAAGAAGCAGACUCCAGCUUUGGAGAGAUGGGUAGGAGACGCAUUUGGCCUGGUUCAGCUACUACUUUAGAUGUAGAUCUUGAACAAGUUUCAAAAAUGAAUGAAAGUAGCUUUUUAUGAAUCUGGGCCCAAUCUCCCGAUUGCCCCUCCAGAGCAGCUCCCUGCCCUUCCCUGCCCCUGAAGGCUGACCUGUGAGCCCCUUUGGGCUGCUGAUGGACCUGUGCUCCCACCCUGGCUCAAAAAGCAAAGAAAAGGGAGUGGCUAUCAGAAAAUGGAAGAAGAGAGUAAAGAAGACAGUGCUGGCUUGAGAGAAGCAGUGGCUUCAGGUAAAAGGCUACUGCCAGCGAUAUGGACGGGAGACAGAGAAAUGCUAGAAGAGGGCGGUUCCCCAACAAAGGCCCCACCCACAAGCCUGGACACCUGUGGCCCUAAAUGAGAACAGGCAUUCCUGUUUUUGCACCCAAAAAGUGGUCUUUUGGUAUGCCACACCCCCUAUCCUAUACCCAUAUAAACCCUGAACCCCAGGCUCCAGCUCAGACCAGCAGAGGAGGAGACGAGACAAGCAGACAAUGCAGAACAGUGCAGCAGAGAUAACUCGAGAGGAAUUCAGCCAGGGUGGUCAGAGAGGAGUUUGGCUGCUGGACAGCCCACUCCAAGGGAAGAUCAUCUUCCUACUCCAUCUCCCCUCCUUCCAGCUCCCUAUCCAUCCUGCCGAGAGCCACCUCCACCGUGCAUUAAAACCUCGCAUUCAUCCUUCAAGCCUGUGUGUGACCCGAUGCUUCCGGGACGCUGGGCAAGAGCUCAGGAUACAGAAAGCUGUCACACUGGCCCUCUGCCCUUGAGAAAAGGCAGAGGGUCCAUUGAGCUGUUUAACACUUAAAGCCAUCUGCGGAUGGCAGGGCUAAGAGAAUAUUGUAACAUUGGGGUUGCAGGCACCCACCCCAAGACACUACCAUGGGGCCAGAGCCCAAAGCACCCACCCCAGCCUCUGCACCUGCCCAUCUGAGUGCUCCCCCUCCCGCAAGGGGUUUGAGGCAACGGAGCAGGUCUCCUGGGAGGGGGAUCAGGGAACUCUCCCAUUUAACCAGCCCACAGACAUGAAGACACCAUGGGGAGUGUGGGGAGAGCCACGAGAUAUGUACCAUGACUGCAUCAUCUUUCCACCCUCUGAUCUCCUGUUGAGGGUUCCCACUGAUCAAAUCCAAGAAGCCAGAGGGGAAGAGAGUUCCUCAAUGUAGUCAGCGUCCUGGAGCAAAGAGAGGAGAGGAGAUGAUCCAGGAGCAAAUAGGAGACAACCAGCACAGUUCCCAAAUGUGAGAAACUGAUUACAGCAGAAUCGACUUGAGGCACAUUUUAAAUAUACACAUGAAUUCCUCAGACUCCCCCACUCCCAAUUUCAGAGUAUGUCAGGGGUGGGACCUAAAUAAUUUACGUUAAAAAAAAAAAUCUUGGCCAGGCACAGUGACUCAUGCCUGUAAUCCCAGCACUUUGGGAGGCCGAGGCAGGCAGAUCACCUGAUGUCGGGAGUUCGAGACCAGCCUGACCAACAUGGAGAAACCCCCUCUCUACUAAAAAUACAAAAAUUAGCCGGGUGUGGUGGCGCAUGCCUGUAAUCCCAGCUACUUGGGAGGCUGAGGCAGGAGAAUCGUUUGAACCGGGAGGCAGAGGUUGCGGUGAGCCGAGAUUGCGCCAUUGCACUCCGGGCUGGGCAACAAGAAACUCCACCCCCCCAAAAAAAUAAAAAUAAAAUAAAUCUUAAAUGAUUCCAAAGCACAACCACGUUUGGAAUACCUGGCCUUACGAGACACACAAAUGACCUUGAAGAUUUCAAAGCAGGUCCCACAAUCCCUUCUCACCACAAGAUUAGGCCCAACAAGACCAUAUCAUCUUAGUUGGGCAUAGUGGCUCAUGCCUGUAAUGCCAGCACUUUGGGAGGUUGAAGCAGAUGAAUCGUCUGAGGUCAGGAGUUCGAGACCAGCCUGGCCAACAUGGUAAAAUCCCAUCUCUACUAAAAAUACGAAAAAUUAGCCAGGCGUGGUGGCACACACCUGUAUUUCCAGCUACUCAGGAGGCUGAGGCAAGAGAAUCACUUGAACCCAGGAGGUGGAGGUUGCAGUGAGCCGAGAUCAUGCCAUUGCACUCCAGCCUGGGCAACAAGAGUGAAACUCGGUCUGAAAAAAAAAAAGAAGAAGAAAGGAAGGAAGGAAGAAAAGAAAGAAAGAAUCUUCUAUAAAGCAAGCAACUGCAUUUGGUACUAUUCUAGUGUCCUCUCUGGAGUGGCACUUAUCAAAGAAAACAUUGGGUUACUUUCUGUCCUCAAGCACCAACCCCUAGGACUGAAAAGAGCCGGGCGCAUUCCUCAGCCCCGGGCUCAAAACAAACAAGCCCAGUACAAACACCACCAGGAAAGUCUCCGAUAAGGGGACAGAUGAGGGGACAGCCGUUCAAAGUUUUACUGAAAGAGCGGGAACCAAAAGAAUUCCUUUGUUCCCCUGUAACUUUCAGGCUAUAAAAAGCAAACACUCGCAUUGUUCAGGGCCCUCUUGUAUGCUGUGGAAUGGAGGGACCAGGUUCGAACUUGUAGUAAAGAUCCUUGCCACUUGGCUUUGA